rnacentral:pre_miRNA from 1 species
GUUGGAGCGGUGGGGUCCCUCAGCCCGGAUUGUGAGAGGGUGCAGGCCAGGCCGAGGGACCCCAUCAGUGCAGA